UACGGGGGGUGCGAGCGUUGUCCGGAAUCACUGGGCGUAAAGGGCGCGUAGGUGGCGUGAUAAGGGUGUGGUGAAAGCCCGGGGCUCAACCCCGGGUCUGCCAUGCCGACUGUCAGGCUCGAGUGCUGUAGGGGCAGGCGGAAUUCCGGGUGUAGCGGUGAAAUGCGUAGAUAUCUGGAGGAACACCGGUGGCGAAGGCGGGUCUCUGGGCCGUAACUGACGCUGAGGAGCGAAAGCGUGGGGAGCGAACAGG
rnacentral:rRNA from 1 species